AUUGAACGCUGGCGGCAUGCCUUACACAUGCAAGUCGAACGGUAACGGGCCUUCGGGUGCCGACGAGUGGCGAACGGGUGAGUAAUGUAUCGGAACGUACCUUUCAGUGGGGGAUAACGUAGCGAAAGUUACGCUAAUACCGCAUAUUCUGUGAGCAGGAAAGCAGGGGAUCGCAAGACCUUGCGCUGAUUGAGCGGCCGAUAUCAGAUUAGCUAGUUGGUGAGGUAAAGGCUCACCAAGGCGACGAUCUGUAGCGGGUCUGAGAGGAUGAUCCGCCACACUGGAACUGAGACACGGUCCAGACUCCUACGGGAGGCAGCAG
rnacentral:rRNA from 1 species